GACAACCAGCCUUGCUCACGAAGCGUCAGCCGUAUCCUUUCUGUGUGCAGUGGGGUGUGGGUUGUGUGGAGCCGCGGUGUCUGUGGAAUUCACAGGCUGGGGCCGGAAUCCAUGGCCCCCGUCGCCGCUGCCACCCCCCAGGUGCUGGGGUGACCUGAUCCAGGGUUGGGGUCUAAGCUGCUGGGGGGUUGGAGUCUUGGGCUCUGGCCCACGUCCGCCUCUGAUUGGUUCUACCACCUGAGCCGGUCACUGACCCUCCAUGGGCCUCAGCUUACCCUAUGGUAAAGUGAGAACUAGGGGGUCAGACUCCUUGAUCACCAAGAUCUCUGACCACAGCCAAGGCUAAGGGAAGCGCAGGAAAACGUGGGGCUCGUCCAAAUUCCCAGCCUCUCUCUGCCCCCUGGUGGACGCCGGCAGCCUAGCACCCGGGGGGAGAUGACCCCGACACUGUGUGACCUCUGCCAAGGCACCCAUCCCUCUGAGCCCCAGUUCCCACCGGUUACAUAGGAAUGAUUAUAAUACCCACCUCUUUGGGCAAUUGUGAGGAGGCAAGGAGAUAAUACAUGCAAAGUGCUUGGAUGGGAUGGGUACUAGCCACUCAACAGAAGGCAGAUCCUAGAAUGGGGAUGGCAAGUCCUGUCAUCAGUGAAGAAUGUAAUGACUGCAAGCUUAGAUGACAUGUCUGUUACUGGAAACCAGAGUUGUUUACUUAAGCUGUAAAUGAACUCAUAGUCCCUGGGAUAAUUAUCUCACCUCUGGAUAAAUAAACUCAACAGCCUUAUGUAUUUUAUUAAUUUUUCUUAAAAAAAAGCUUAAAAUAUUUUUCCUUUGAUUUGUUCUCUUUCUUUGGUUUCUGACUUUAUUAUGUCCUUUCUUUCUGCUUAGGCAUUUGUUUUAUUGCUCUUUUUUCACCAACUCAAACUGAAUGGUCACCUUAACAGUUUUAUUGAGAUCCAUUAUUUAUUCUUCUCCAUCUUGUUCUGUGUUCCUGGAAGCCAACCUUUAUAAGCUGCAGGAAAUGGAUUUCCUACUCUCCACCUUCUGAUUGGGCUUGACCAACGGGGAGCACUGGCAGAAGACAAGCAUGGGAGGAAAAAGAGAUCAGGGCUGGAGUGCAGUGGCGUGAUCUCGGCUAGCUACAACCUCCACCUCCCAGCCGCCUGCCUUGGCCUCCCAAAGUGCCGAGAUUGCAGCCUCUGCCUGGCCGCCACCCCGUCUGGGAAGUGAGGAGCGCCUCUGCCCGGCCGUGACCCCGUCUGGGAACUGAGGAGUGUCUCUGCCCGACCGCCACCCCAUCUGGGAGGUGAGGAGCGUCUCUGCCCGGCCGCCCCGUCUGAGAAGUGAGGAGCCCCUCCACCCGGCAGCCGCCCUGUCUGGGAAGUGAGGAGCCCCUCCGCCCGGCAGCCACCCCGUCUGCCAAGCCCAGCAUCCAAUUCAGUCGCCUUCAAGGAGUCUCUUCAGUCUAAUUUAUUCUAGAACAAUUCUUCAGGCUUCCCUUCUCUGGCCAAGAUUUUUGAAAAAUACAGGUCAAUGACUUUGUAGGUUGUCUUCAGUUUGGAUUUGUCUGCUGUGUCCUCAUGAUUUAUGCAUCUCUGGCAGGAAUACCACAGAAACGAUGCGACAUUCUUCUCAGUGUACCAUAUUAGGAGUCACACAAUGUCAACUUGUCCCAUUACUGCUGAUGUUAAUGUUUACCACUUGGCUAAGAUGAUGUCUGCCAGGUUUCUCCACUGGAAAGUUAACAGUAUUUAGUACGUGUUAAGUGAUGAGUAAUGAAUAAAUAUUUCAUAGGGA
rnacentral:lncRNA from 1 species